CAGCAGCUUGGAAAGAUAGCGCAGGUGUAACGAGUGCCCCUAACGAGUAGAGAGCCACCUCAGGACUUCCAGAAGAAGGAGACACGUGGCCGCCUGAGGAGUUUGGACGUCGGCAGUAGGCGUGGGAGUUUUAGUGUGAAACCUUGCUGAGUUUGGGGUUUCUGACGGUGGUCCUGGCAUUUCUAACGGGACUAUGGGGAACACACAGUGGUGUGUAUAUGUAGACACACCGCCCGCAGGGGUCUGGGACCAGUGGUGUUGAGUUGAGCCUGCUCACCGGUUUAAUUAACUAAUUGUAAAGUGGGGCAUUCAUGGGUUUAUGUUUUCAUACGUUUCAGUAUUUCUACUGUUUCUACUUUUGUUUGUUUGAGUCAUUUAUGAAUUUUAGCAGAGGUUUUGUAUUAGCAUCUGGGAUUGAAUCGACAUGCAUUAGAAAUGAAACUUUAUAAAAUAGGUUGGAUUUUGUCAGGACAACUUUGGUCGACUGAACAUGUAUAAACUAUGAAACCAAAAGACCAUACAAACAUUACCAGCAUAAAGAACAUUGUUUAUUUACAGUACAGAUGUUGAAGCUACAUUACACAGGCAUUACUAAUAGCUAUAAACUCAUUUUAUAAAAUACAUCAUCAUUUACACAUGGAUGUUUAAUUAAUCAACGUACAUACUUACAUACAUACAUACAUAAUGGAAAUAUAUCUCAGUGAAACCAAGCAAUAUUACAGUUAAUUUUACUGAUCAUUUUGACAAUGAAUUGUGCAACAAAAACUGUAAGAUCAGCACAAGCUUAAGCCGAGAGCUUGUUUAUAAAUAGCUACUGUCUGGUAAGUGACAAGGUUCACAACACUCAUGCUUUAGGAUAUGUCUGUGGAUAGCAGCCUAUUAUAGCGGCCUUCCUUGAUUGAUACAUCAAACAGCCAAUCACCAAGAUGUGUUAUUCUGAAAUUAACCAAUGGGAAGUUAGGAUUACCCAAACAGGUCCAGAGCAUUUCAAAAGCUUCCUUGACUACCACAUCAAAUAUGUCACUGCACUUAAGAGUACAUAAAAGUAUUAGAUGAAACCGUUAGUCAAGUAACG
ensembl:lncRNA